GCUUACGGCCAUACCACCCUGAACACGCCCGAUCUCGUCCGAUCUCGGAAGCUAAGCAGGGUCGGGCCUAGUACUUGGAUGGGAGACCGCCUGGGAAUACCAGGUGCUGUAAGCU
rnacentral:rRNA from 1 species